GUAGUCCACGCCGUAAACGAUGCUCACUAGAUGUGGGGGGUAUCGACCCCCUCCGCGUCGAAGCUAACGCAUUAAGUGAGCCGCCUGGGGAGUACGGCCGCAAGGCUAAAACUCAAAGGAAUUGACGGGGGCCCGCACAAGCAGCGGAGCGUGUGGUUUAAUUCGAUGCAACGCGAAGAACCUUACCUGGGCUUGAACGUGCAGUGACAGCCGGUGAAAGCCGGUCUCCCUUCGGGGCACUGUGCGAGGUGAUGCACGGCUGUCGUCAGCUCGUGCCGUGAGGUGUUGGGUUAAGUCCCGCAACGAGCGCAACCCUUGUCGCUAGUUGUAUUUCUCUAGCGAGACUGCCC
rnacentral:rRNA from 1 species